AGUUACUUGGCAGUUUAAACAGUUUCCUGCUAGGACUUCAGUUGAAAGUCCUUCCAUCCUUUACCAGAGAGAGUGAAACGUGAAAUUGGUUCAGAGACUCACAUAUCGCUCUCGACAUAGCUAUGCCACUAAGUCCAAGGUGGGAAGCUUGUUUACUAGACCACUAAGAGAAUCCAAGGGAUUCCACACUUGAGACCUACUGAGUACAAGCGUUCUAGACUUUCAAGGAACAGGAAGACCGUGAACCGCCCAUACGGUGGUGUAUUAUCUGGUAGAGCUGUUCGAGAAAGAAUUAUCAGAGCAUUUUUGGUGGAAGAACAGAAGAUUGUAAAGAAGGUUUUGAAGAUCCAGAAAGCAAAAGAAAAGUUGACUUCAAAGAAAUAAGUUGUCAAUGUGAAGCUGUGUUUAUUUUGAUUUGAUGGAAACAAAUUUUGAUUUUAUUGUGUUGAUUACAUUUCAGAAAUCAUAGAUAUAAGGUUUUUCUUACAAUUAUGAUCAAGCUUUACUUAUUCUCAUUUGUUUGCUUUAAUUGAUUUUUUGAGGAACAAGGUUCUUGUUGCGAGGGAUUUGUUCCCUGAAACCUUGCAGGUGGAACAAUGCAUUCAUAUUUCAUUUUCACUUGGUAUGACAUUCCUCCAUUAGCGAGUCCAAACAAUUUAUUCAUGUAUUUUUACAUUAAACCGAACCAGGCCAAUUCAUCUGCAAUUUGGGUGGUUAAGCAAAAGAAGGCCUAUUCUGUUUGAAAUACAAAAGGAAUCCCAUGAUCUUGUCAAGAGGAGGUGACACCUCUUUCACCACCGGAUGUUCGUUCACUUCUGUGACCCAUGAGUAGAGAAACGGUGUCAUUUCUGGGUCCAUGAAUUUCAC